rnacentral:rRNA from 1 species
AGGAAGGUGGGGAUGACGUCAAGUCAUCAUGGCCCUUACGGCCUGGGCUACACACGUGCUACAAGUGGUCGGUACAAAGGGUUGCCAAGCCGCGAGGUGGAGCUAAUACCCAUAAAACCGAUCGUAGUCCGGAUCGCAGUCUGCAACUCGACUGCGUGAAGUCGGAAUCGCUAGUAAUCGUGAAUCAGAAUGUCACGGUGAAUACGUUCCCGGGCCUU